rnacentral:rRNA from 1 species
CAGCCGCCGCGGUAAUACGUAGGUGGCAAGCGUUGUCCGGAAUUAUUGGGCGUAAAGGGCUCGCAGGCGGUUUCUUAAGUCUGAUGUGAAAGCCCCCGGCUCAACCGGGGAGGGUCAUUGGAAACUGGGAAACUUGAGUGCAGAAGAGGAGAGUGGAAUUCCACGUGUAGCGGUGAAAUGCGUAGAGAUGUGGAGGAACACCAGUGGCGAAGGCGACUCUCUGGUCUGUAACUGACGCUGAGGAGCGAAAGCUUGGGGAGCGAACAGGAUUAGAUACCCCUGUAGUCCCUGUCUCUUAUAC